UCUUAUGGAAUGAGCAAAGAAAGUAGUUUCUAGACAUGGAAUCUACUCUUGGUGCAGAUGCUGUGCA
rnacentral:pre_miRNA from 1 species